rnacentral:rRNA from 1 species
AGCACCACAACAGGUGGAGCCUGCGGUUUAAUCGGACUCAACGCCGUGAAACUCACCAGAUAAGACAGCUGAAUGAUAGUCGGGCUGAAGACUCUACUUGACUAGCUGAGAGGAGGUGCAUGGCCGUCGUCAGUUCGUACUGUGAAGCAUCCUGUUAAGUCAGGCAACGAGCGAGACCCACGCCAACAGUUGCCAGCUCGUCCUCCGGGAUGGUGGGGACACUGUUGGGACCGCCUCUGCUAAAGAGGAGGAAGGAAUGGGCAACGGUAGGUCAGCAUGCCCCGAAUUAUCUGGGCUACACGCGGGCUACAAUGGGUGGGACAAUGGGUAUCGACACCGAAAGGUGAAGGCAAUCUCCUAAACCCAUCCGUAGUUCGGAUUGUGGGCUGCAACUCGCCCACAUGAAGCUGGAAUCCGUAGUAAUCGCGUUUCAAAAUAGCGCGGUGAAUAUGUCCCUGCUCCUU